rnacentral:sRNA from 2 species
CGCCCGUCACACCAUGGGAGCUAGUAAUGCCCGAAGCCGGAUAGUUAACUUCGGAGGCUACUGUCUAAGGCAGGACUGGUAACUGGGGUGAAGUCGUAACAAGGUAUCCCUACGAGAACGUGGGGAUGGAUCACCUCCUUUCUACGGAGUGCAUAGAUCUAUCUUUAUUGAUAGAAAUGACAAAAUAUUUUUCACAAUAUUUAAAAUACAAAAGAUUUAUAUCCAGUUUUGAGAGAUCAAGAAAAAAAUAAUCUCUCAGAUUAGUUCUUUGAAAACUGAAUAGCAAUUAAAAUUUGAAUUAUCAAUAUUCAAGAAGUUUACAUAACGUCCAUUUUAAAUAGGUUUAAAAUGGAAUAAAAGUAACUGAUCCAAUUAAAAAUAAGAUACCUUAGAAAUACAAAUUAAGAAGAACAAUUAGGUCUCAAAAAAACAUAAAACAAGAAGUUAUUAAAUAAGUAAGAGUUUGUGGUGGAUGCCUUGGGUCUGGAAGACGAAGAAGGACGUGAUUACCUGCGAUAAGCCUCGAGGAGCUGGAUAUAAGCUAUGAAUCGGGGAUGUCCGAAUGGGGAAACCCAACUAGAGUAAUGUCUAGUUACUAUAUUCUGAAUACAUAGGAAUAUUAGAGUUAUACGUUGCGAAGUGAAACAUCUUAGUAGCAAUAGGAAAAGAAAAUAAAUUAAAAUGAUUCCGUAAGUAGCGGCGAGCGAACGCGGAAGAGCCCAAACCAACAUUUGUUGGGGUUGUAGGACAAUCUACAUUUAGUUACAAAAUUUAUAUAUAGCAGAAUGACUUGGGAAGGUCAAGCAUAGAAGGUUAUACUCCCGUAUGCGAAAUAUAUAAAACUAAUGAUUGUAUCCUGAGUAGGGCGGGGCACGAGAAACCCUGUCUGAAUCUGCCGGGACCACCCGGUAAGGCUAAAUACUAACCAGACACCGAUAGUGAACAA